CGGAUGUGAAAAUGUGGAGGGAGCUGCAGUUACCUCCUUUGUAUUGUUUGCCUUAGAAGUGUGGAUAGAAAUUUGUGUGUGACGGCAAAUAUUGCAUUUGACUGUGAUGUGUGACUCUGUGUGUGUGUGUGACUGAAUAUUGUGCAUUUGACUGUGAUGUGUGACUGUGGAUAUUGUGCAUUUGACUGUGUGUGACUGUGAAUAUUGCAUUUUGACUGACUUUGUGUGUGUGUGUGUGUGUGGUUUGUGUGUGUGUGACUGUGUGUAGCUUGACUGUGUGUGUUGCUUGUAUGCUUUGCUGAAUGAUUGGUUGUUGUGGCCCAACACUGCCUUUGCCGGUCCCAAGCCCGGAUGUUAAAAUAUGGAGGGAGCUGCAGUUGCCUCCUUUGUAUUGUUUGCCUUAGAAGUGUGGAUAGAAAUUUAUGUUUUAGGUUAUUGUCCUAAUCGAAUAGUGCAUCUUAACAUAAUGUGGGAUUCGAGCUUGAAAUGCACAGCCAACUCCGUCUCCGCCUUCAUAAGUGGGUCAAUCGUUAAUACGACCUCUGUGGUUCGGUCGACCCGCUGUCCAACCUUGCUACCUCUCAGAUCCAACCGGAGUUUGUGCAAAGCGCGUCUGGACUUCCCAUGUCCGUCCCGCCCUCAAUCUUCCUUUUUUUAGCUCUAGUUUUCCCCCUUCUUUUCUUCCCUCACGCGACUCCUUCGGUUCUGCCCCCUGUCGAUCCCCCCAAUCUCACCUUCCGUACGCACAGCCAACUCCGCCUCCGCCUCCUUCGUGUGGCCAGCAGCGGCACACAGCACACAUUUUUCGCUGAGAUUGUUGCAUGACAGGAUCGACGGUGGCAGGCGGGUCUGCUGCCCCAACGACGGUAUGGCCUGGCCUGAACCCUGCGGAGUGUGGGGCUCAGCGACGUCUUUUGCUUUCUGAUUAUUGAUUGAUUUGUUCCUCACAGUAUUUUUUAUGACAUUUCAUGAUUUUUUUCCAGUUUUGUAGCAUAAUGUGUGUUCCUCACAGGCUAGAAAUGCAAUUAACUCAAUCUUGUGAAUAUGUAGUUUAUAGGCAGGUGUGUACAGUUAGGCUCAAGUUUCAUAGUGUAAAACUCUGAUCUUGAUAUGCCAAUUUUGUCAUUUAUGUUGCAUGGCCGAUUUGGCAUCCAAUCCAAUGCAUCCCAUGCCUAUCUUAUUUAUCUCAGUCAUCAGAGCAUCCAAUCCAAUGCAUCCCAUGCCUAUCUUAUUUAUCUCAGUCAUCAGAGCAUCCAAUCCAAUGCAUCCCAUGCCUAUCUUAUUUAUCUCAGUCAUCAGAGCACCCAUUUUUGUGAUAUAUGUGUGUUUCGUUAUGUCUUAUGUGGAUAUCAUAUUCUAUUUUUGUUUUACUGUUGUCCAGUCACUGGAAUAGUGCUUUUCUAAGUAUUUAAGGUACAUACAUGUGGAUAUGGACAUGUCACAUUUGCUCUUUAUUGUGUUGCUAAGGACACUGUGUUCCUACAGCAGUGUCUGAACAUGGCACAGUUCCAACAUCAACUCAAUCAUGGGGCACAUCUGCAACAGUUAGAUAUUUUCAUCCAGCUCCUGUACCACCACAAGCAUCACAAGUUUAGAACUCUGAUAUAGUUUCUUGCAUCAUUAAUACAUAUUUUUAUUCAGUUACAGAUGGAUCCUUCUUUGCAUACUGGAGCACUCUCUGGUUCGAACUAUGUUCCACCUGCAGCAUUUGGUGUUGGUAGUGUAUCUGAAGCAUUUCCUACAGACACAAAACACUCUUUUCAAUGUUGCAAAACGGUCAAAGAAAGUAGGUUUUGUAGUUCCAUUUAUUUCACUUGCUUAUCAUCAUAGCCGUUUAACUUUAGCUGAUUCUUGUGCUCGAUCAUGCACCCGCCUCCACUACCUAACUGGCUUCAAGAAGAGCUUCUAAAGAAAAAAAAUCAACUCUAGUGAGUGCUUCAGUGCAACAUCCGACAAAUUCUGAUUCCAUGGAAUCUUAAGAUGUCGCAGAACCACCAAAAAGAGCUAACCAAACUGGCAGUAGAAGCAUUGGUACAGCAAAAUCAAUCGAAGCUGAUGAGGAUGAAGUCGAAGCGGCACAGAUGGCAUCAGUCAACAAGGAAAUUAAACGUGUGUUGACAGAAGUUCUUCUGAAGGUUUCCGAUGAUCUUUUUGAUGAGACCGCAAUCGAAGUUAUGAAUGAAGAUGAUACAUCAGCUGAACCAAAUGAGACCACUGGUGUGUCUAGCUCAAGGAGCUUGGUCUGGGAGAAUCAAAAGUGAGACCACAGCUAAGUUGUAGUCCCUGCUAAGCCAAACAACGUUGGCUCUACUGGUCAUUCUGAUGGUACUGGGCUAAGUUCUCCUAAAGGUGCUCUUCUUGGUCUUGCUAGUUAUGAUUCAGAUGAUGAGGGUGAUGGUGAUGGUGAUGGUGAUGAUGAUGGUAAGGGUUCAAUUCCAAAUUUAUCAUCUAAAAUUGAAGUUGGUGCAACUCAUCCUAAAGAAAGUAAGUUCUUGAAAAACACAAAGCAGACAUGGUUUCCCAGAAUUUAUUUUCUAGAGAAGGAAGAGCUUAUUAUUAAUUUUUUGAGUAUACUUCGAUCUUGCAUGUAUUAGCUUUAUAUUUUUGCCCCUAUCUAUGUAUGUUUCUAUCCAUUUCUUGUGUACACGCGCUCCAUUCUGUUUGUGUGUUUGACUGUGUGUGUGAUGUGCCCCUAUCUAUGUCUGUUCCUCUCUGUUUCUCGUGUGCAAGUGAUACAUUGUGUGUGUGUGUGCAAGUGCUACAUUAUGUGUGUCUGACUGUGUGUGUGAUUUGCCCAUAUCUAUGUCUGUUUCUUUGUCUUUCUUGUGUGCAAGCGCUUGAUUUUGUGUAUGCUUGUGUGACUGUGUGUGUGUGUUUGUGUGUGGGUGUGUGUUGCAUUUGCUUGAUGGUGUGGCCUGUAUGCUUUGCUGAAUGAUUGGUGUUGUAUAACUUCUGUUUUGUAUUGU